UACGUAGGGGGCAAGCGUUGUCCGGAAUCAUUGGGCGUAAAGCGCGUGUAGGCGGCCAGAAAAGUCCGCUGUGAAAACUCGGGGCUCAACCCCGAGCCUGCUUCCGAUACGGGCAGACUAGAGGUAUGCAGGGGAGAAUGGAAUUCCUGGUGUAGCGGUGAAAUGCGCAGAUAUCAGGAGGAACACCGGUGGCGAAGGCGGGUCUCUGGGCCGUAACUGACGCUGAGGAGCGAAAGCGUGGGGAGCGAACAGG
rnacentral:rRNA from 1 species